rnacentral:rRNA from 1 species
UACGUAGGUGGCAAGCGUUGUCCGGAAUUAUUGGGCGUAAAGCGCGCGCAGGCGGUCCUUUAAGUCUGAUGUGAAAGCCCACGGCUCAACCGUGGAGGGUCAUUGGAAACUGGGGGACUUGAGUGCAGAAGAGGAAAGCGGAAUUCCACGUGUAGCGGUGAAAUGCGUAGAGAUGUGGAGGAACACCAGUGGCGAAGGCGGCUUUCUGGUCUGUAACUGACACUGAGGCGCGAAAGCGUGGGGAGCAAACAGG